GGUUAAGUGACUAAGCGUACACGGUGGAUGCCUUGGCAGUUGGAGGCGAUGAAGGACGUAUUAACUUGCGAUAAGCCUAGUCAAGCUAGUAAAAAGCGCUUGAGACUAGGAUUUCCGAAUGGGGAAACCCACCUGCUUGCAGGUAUCGUUAACUGAAUACAUAGGUUAACGAGGCGAACGCGGAGAACUGAAACAUCUAAGUACCCGUAGGAAAAGAAAUCAACCGAGAUUCCGAAAGUAGCGGCGAGCGAAAUCGGAACAGCCCUUAAGCUUAUUAUGUGUUAAUGGAAGGCUCUGGAAAGUGCCACGAUACAGGGUGAUAGUCCCGUACAUGAAAAGACAUUUUAAGUGAAAUCGAGUAGGUCGGAGCACGUGAAACUUUGACUGAAUAUAGGUGGACCAUCAUCUAAGGCUAAAUACUCCCAACUGACCGAUAGUGAACCAGUACCGUGAGGGAAAGGCGAAAAGAACCCUGUGUGGGAGUGAAAUAGAACCUGAAACCGUGUACGUACAAGCAGUAGGAGCCCACUUGUUGGGUGACUGCGUACCUUUGUAUAAUGGGUCAGCGACUUAUAUUUUGUAGCGAGGUUAACCGAAUAGGGUAGCCGUAGGGAAACCGAGUCUUAACUGGGCGACUAGUUGCAAGGUAUAGACCCGAAACCCGGUGAUUCAGCCAUGGGCAGGUUGAAGGUUGAGUAACAUCAACUGGAGGACCGAACCCACUAACGUUGAAAAGUUAGGGGAUGACCUGUGGCUAGGAGUGAAAGGCUAAUCAAACCGGGAGAUAGCUGGUUCUCCCCGAAAUCUAUUUAGGUAGAGCCUCGGACGAAUACUUACGGGGGGUAGAGCACUGUUAAGGCUAGGGGUCAUCCCGACUUACCAACCCUUUGCAAACUCCGAAUACCGUAAAGUAAUAUCCGGGAGACACACGGCGGGUGCUAACGUCCGUCGUGAAGAGGGAACAACCCAGACCGCCAGCUAAGGUCCCAAAGUCAUAGUUAAGUGGGAAACGAUGGAAAGGCCCAGACAGCCAGGAGGUUAGAAGCAGCCAUCCUUUAAAGAAAGCGUAAUAGCUCACUGGUCGAGUCGGUCUGCGCGGAAGAUGUAACGGGGCUAAACUAUGCACCGAAGCUGCGGAUUCAGAAUUUAUUCUGAGUGGUAGGGGAGCGUUCUGUAAGCGGUUGAAGGUGUACCGGGAGGUAUGCUGGACGUAUCAGAAGUGCGAAUGCUGACAUGAGUAACGAUAAUGGGAGUGAAAAACUCCCACGCCGGAAGACCAAGGGUUCCUAUCCCAUGUUAAUCAGGGUAGGGUAAGUCGACCCCUAAGGCGAGGCCGAAAGGCGUAGUCGAUGGGAAACAGAUUAAUAUUUCUGUACUCGAUAUAAUUGCGAUGGGGGGACGGAGCAGGCUAAACAAGCAUGGCGUUGGUAGUCCAUGUGAAAGUGAGUAGGUUGGCGACUUAGGUAAAUCCGGGUUGCUAUUAAGACUGAGACACGAGACGAGUCACUACGGUGAUGAAGUUGUUGAUGCCAUACUUCCAGGAAAAGCCUCUAAGCUUCAGAUUAUAUGGAAUCGUACCCCAAACCGACACAGGUGGUCAGGUAGAGAAUACUAAGGCGCUUGAGAGAACUCGGGUGAAGGAACUAGGCAAAAUCGUACCGUAACUUCGGGAGAAGGUACGCUCCUAUCUGUGAUGAGACUUGCUCUCUAAGCGGACGGGAGCCGCAGUGACCAGGUGGCUGGGACUGUUUAUUAAAAACACAGCACUGUGCAAAAUCGCAAGAUGACGUAUACGGUGUGACACCUGCCCGGUGCCGGAAGGUUAAUUGAUGGGGUUAUCCUUAGGGAGAAGCUCUUGAUCGAAGCCCCGGUAAACGGCGGCCGUAACUAUAACGGUCCUAAGGUAGCGAAAUUCCUUGUCGGGUAAGUUCCGACCUGCACGAAUGGUGUAACCAUGGCCACGCUGUCUCCACCCGAGACUCAGUGAAAUUGAAAUCGCAGUGAAGAUGCUGUGUACCCGCGGCUAGACGGAAAGACCCCGUGAACCUUUACUACAGCUUGGCACUGAACAUGAAACCAUGUGUAGGAUAGGUGGGAGACUUUGAAGCAGCGACGACGUUGUUGUUGAGUCAACCUUGAAAUACCACCCUUGUAGUUUUGAUGUUCUAACGUUGGCCCCUGAAUCGGGGUUACGGACAGUGCCUGGUGGGUAGUUUGACUGGGGCGGUCUCCUCCUAAAGAGUAACGGAGGAGCACGAAGGUUGGCUAAGUACGGUCGGACAUCGUACGGUUAGUGUAAUGGUAGAAGCCAGCUUAACUGCGAGACAGACACGUCGAGCAGGUACGAAAGUAGGUCAUAGUGAUCCGGUGGUUCUGAAUGGAAGGGCCAUCGCUCAACGGAUAAAAGGUACUCCGGGGAUAACAGGCUGAUACCGCCCAAGAGUUCAUAUCGACGGCGGUGUUUGGCACCUCGAUGUCGGCUCAUCACAUCCUGGGGCUGAAGUCGGUCCCAAGGGUAUGGCUGUUCGCCAUUUAAAGUGGUACGCGAGCUGGGUUUAGAACGUCGUGAGACAGUUCGGUCCCUAUCUGCCGUGGGCGUUUGAGAAUUGAGAGGGGUUGCUCCUAGUACGAGAGGACCGGAGUGAACGAACCGCUGGUGUUCGGGUUGUCAUGCCAAUGGCAUUGCCCGGUAGCUACGUUCGGAACUGAUAAGCGCUGAAAGCAUCUAAGCGCGAAGCAGGCCUCGAGAUGAGUUCUCACUAGACUUUUAAAGUCUCUGAAGGGCCGUUGAAGACUACAACGUUGAUAGGCAAGAUGUGGAAGUGGUGUGAGCCAUUAAGCUAACUUGUACUAAUUACCCGUGAGGCUUAACCAU
rnacentral:rRNA from 1 species